CCCUCUACAUUGUCCAACUGUGCCAGAACGUAGAAUGGGUUCUGGUCUUUCCCUUACAUAUCAUAACAUAACAGUGUCCAACUGUGCCAGAACGUAGAAUGGGUCCUGGUCUUUCUCUUACAUAGUGCCAGCGAACGUAGAAUGGGUCCCACUGGUCUUACUUUCCGUACCGUACAUAUCACAUCGUCAUAUCAUAGAUCGAGGGCUAUGGAUCAUCCAACAUUCAUCCACAUCAACAUUUAAUAUAUGCAAUGCAACAUAUUCGUGAAUUCUAAUGCAAGCAACCUAAUUCAUCACAUGGCAUUCAUGAUGCGUGAAGCAUGCUAAAAAGUACAUUAUUUGCUUUAAAACAUAAUAGGUUAUUCCACUCACCUCUGGAUAGCUCUGACCAGACACUGGGGCAACAGACUCACUGCUGGGGUCCUCGGUUCCUCGGGUCGGAACCUACACAGGCGGACUCAAAUGAGGGACCAAACAAACAUGAACAUAACUCUAAACUAUUCCCCAAAAACCCCCUAAAACAUCAUGGAAUAAUCAUAGAAAAACAUGC
rnacentral:lncRNA from 1 species